GCCUGGGAGGCUCAGUUGGUUAAGCAUCUGACUUCAGAUCAGAUCGUGAUCCUGUGGUUUGUGGGUUUGAGCCCCGCAUCGGGCU
rnacentral:tRNA from 1 species